rnacentral:misc_RNA from 1 species
AAGUCGUAACAAGGUUUCCGUAGGUGAACCUGCGGAAGGAUCAUUAUCGUAGGGCUUCGGCCCUGUCGAGAUAGAACCCUUGCCUUUAUGAGUACCGUCCGUUUCCUCGGCAGGUCCGCCUGCCGAUGGACAAAAAAAUAAACCCUUUAUCACCCGUAUCAGUCUGAAAAAACAAAUAAAAAUUAAAA